AUGGCUCAGGAUGAACGCUGGCGGUAUGCCUAACACAUGCAAGUCGGUACGAGUAGUUUUUAACUCUAGUGGCGGACGGGUGAGUAACACGUGAGAAUUUGCCUUUAGGAGGGGGAUAACAAUUGGAAACGAAUGCUAAUACCCCAUAUGCUUUUUGAGUGAAAUGGAUUUUAUCCGCCUAGAGAGAAGCUCGCGGCUGAUUAGCUUGUUGGUAAGGUAAGAGCUUACCAAGGCGACGAUCAGUAUCUGGUUUGAGAGGACGAUCAGACACACUGGAACUGAGACACGGUCCAGACUCCUACGGGAGGCAGCAGUGGGGAAUUUUCCGCAAUGGGCGAAAGCCUGACGGAGCAAUACCGCGUGAGGGAAGAAUGCCUAUGGGUUGUAAACCUUCUUUUCAGGGAGGAAUAAAAUGACGUGUACCUGAAGAAUAAGCAUCGGCUAACUCCGUG
rnacentral:rRNA from 1 species